GAUGAAGAACGCAGCGAAAUGCGAUAAGUAAUGUGAAUUGCAGAAUUCAGUGAAUCAUCGAAUCUUUGAACGCACAUUGCGCCCCCUGGUAUUCCGGGGGGCAUGCCUGUUCGAGCGUCAUUUCACCACUCAAGCCUCGCUUGGUAUUGGGCAACGCGGUCCGCCGCGUGCCUCAAAUCGACCGGCUGGGUCUUCUGUUCCCUAAGCGUUGUGGAAACUAUUCGCUAAAGGGUGUUCGGGAGGCUACGCCGUAAAACAACCCCAUUUCUAAGGUUGACCUCGGAUCAGGUAGGGAUACCCGCUGAACUUAAGCAUAUCAAUAAGCGGAGGA
rnacentral:misc_RNA from 1 species